AUCUCAUUGGCUCAGUUGGUUAGAGUGUUCGCUUCACAUGGAUAACGUAUAAUGGCGUUUCUGUGGGCCGCGAAAGGUCUUGGGUUCGAUCCCCAAAUGGGAUA
rnacentral:tRNA from 2 species